rnacentral:rRNA from 1 species
CCUACGGGAGGCAGCAGUAGGGAAUAUUGGGCAAUGGAGGCAACUCUGACCCGGCCAUGCCGCGUGCAGGAUGAAGGCGUUAUGCGUUGUAAACUGCUUUUAUAUAGGAAGAAAUAGACCUUGCGAGGUAAGUUGACGGUACUAUAUGAAUAAGCACCGGCUAACUCCGUGCCAGCAGCCGCGGUAAUACGGAGGGUGCAAGCGUUGUCCGGAUUUAUUGGGUUUAAAGGGUGCGUAGGCGGUUUAUUAAGUCAGUGGUGAAAGACGGUCGCUCAACGAUUGCAGUGCCAUUGAUACUGGUAGACUUGAGUGUGAUUGAGGUAGCUGGAAUGGAUAGUGUAGCGGUGAAAUGCAUAGAUAUUAUCCAGAACACCAAUUGCGUAGGCAAGUUACUAAGUCACAACUGACGCUGAGGCACGAAAGUGUGGGUAUCAAACAGGAUUAGAUACCCUGGUAGUCCACACUGUAAACGAUGAUAACUAACUGUUGGCUUUUGGGUCAGUGGUACAGAGAAAUCGUUAAGUUAUCCACCUGGGGAGUACGCCGGCAACGGUGAAACUCAAAGGAAUUGACGGNNGAGAGNGCGACGACGACGACGAGGGAGGAGG